rnacentral:rRNA from 1 species
AGAUUGAACGCUGGCGGCAUGCCUAACACAUGCAAGUCGAACGGGAGUAGCAAUACUCUAGUGGCGGACGGGUGAGGAAUACGUAGGAAUUUGCCCUUAAGUGGGGGAUAACCCGGGGAAACCCGGAUUAAUACCGCAUGACCUCGAAAGAGCAAAGUGGGGGAUCGCAAGACCUCACGCUUUUGGAGAAGCCUACGUCGGAUUAGCUAGUUGGUGAGGUAAUGGCUCACCAAGGCGACGAUCCGUAACUGGUCUGAGAGGAUGAUCAGUCACACCGGAACUGAGACACGGUCCGGACUCCUACGGGAGGCAGCAGUGGGAAUAUUGGACAAUGGGCGCAAGCCUGAUCCAGCAAAUGCCGCGUGUGUGAAGAAGGCCUGGUUGUAAGACACUUUAAGUUAGGGUAAGAAAAACUACGACUACUAACAACAGUGAGUCGUUGACGGUACCGACGAGAAUAAGACGACCGGACUAACCUACGUCGUGCACGCAGACCCGCGGUAACUACGUGAGGCCGGCGUGGACG